CCGCCGGCUCGACGCGGUGGCGACCCCCGAACCUGGUCAGGCCGGAAGGAGCAGCCAUAAGGGGUGAUCGUCAGGCGCCGUCGACCCCCGGCGGGAC
rnacentral:SRP_RNA from 1 species